rnacentral:rRNA from 1 species
GACGAACGCUGGCGGCGUGCUUAACACAUGCAAGUCGAACGGAAAGGCCCUGCUUUUGUGGGGUGCUCGAGUGGCGAACGGGUGAGUAACACGUGAGUAACCUGCCCUUGACUUUGGGAUAACUUCAGGAAACUGGGGCUAAUACCGGAUAGGAGCUCCUGCUGCAUGGUGGGGGUUGGAAAGUUUCGGCGGUUGGGGAUGGACUCGCGGCUUAUCAGCUUGUUGGUGGGGUAGUGGCUUACCAAGGCUUUGACGGGUAGCCGGCCUGAGAGGGUGACCGGCCACAUUGGGACUGAGAUACGGACCAGACUCCUACGGGAGGCAGCAGUGGGGAAUAUUGCAAAAUGGGCGGAAGCCUGAUGCAGCAACGCCGCGUGCGGGAUGACGGCCUUCGGGUUGUAAACCGCUUUCGCCUGUGACGAAGCGUGAGUGACGGUAAUGGGUAAAGAAGCACCGGCUAACUACGUG